GCCUCUGUAGCAUAGUAGCUAUUGCGGCAGACUUGUAUUCAAACAAGCCAUCUGCAGGUCGCCGGUGCAACUCCGGCCAGAGGCU
rnacentral:tRNA from 1 species